CCUACGGGAGGCAGCAGUGAGGAAUAUUGGACAAUGGGCGCAAGCCUGAUCCAGCCAUGCCGCGUGCAGGAAGACGGUCCUAUGGAUUGUAAACUGCUUUUAUACAGGAAGAAACACCUCUACGUGUAGAGACUUGACGGUACUGUAUGAAUAAGCAUCGGCUAACUCCGUGCCAGCAGCCGCGGUAAUACGGAGGAUGCAAGCGUUAUCCGGAAUCAUUGGGUUUAAAGGGUCCGUAGGCGGUUUAAUAAGUCAGUGGUGAAAGCCCAUCGCUCAACGAUGGAACGGCCAUUGAUACUGUUAAACUUGAAUUAUUAGGAAGUAACUAGAAUAUGUAGUGUAGCGGUGAAAUGCUUAGAGAUUACAUGGAAUACCAAUUGCGAAGGCAGGUUACUACUAAUAUAUUGACGCUGAUGGACGAAAGCGUGGGGAGCGAACAGGAUUAGAUACCCUGGUAGUCCACGCCGUAAACGAUGGAUACUAGCUGUUCGGAGCAAUCUGAGUGGCUAAGCGAAAGUGAUAAGUAUCCCACUGGGGAGUACGUUCGCAAGAAUGAAACUCAAAUGAAAUUGACGG
rnacentral:rRNA from 1 species